ACAGUACUUUCAUGCUGAAUCUUGCAAAUAUUGACUAAUAUUGACAAAUAUUGGCAGCCCAAAUGUGCACAAAGAGCAAGUCUAUUAAAUCAAACAAUGCAACAAUUCUAGUCUCAGCCUUAAGAUGUCACUAGCAGACUUGACCUAGAGGUUCUCAAUUUUCCAGUAGCUUGGAGGCCACAAAAAGAAAAGAGGAAACUUUUAUGUUGCUUUUAACACUUCUCCUACCUCCUACAUUGAGGACAGGCAAAAUGUUCCUGUCAACUGAGCUAUCUUACAGAGCUCUUGAAAUCCACCGAAUUCUACAGGCCUUCUCUAUUUGGCACCAUUUUCAGCUAGAUUAAAAAUAAAUGUGAAAACUAUUUUCCCCAAAAAACAAAUGAAACAAAAACCACAAGGAAGGACUUGAAGUCCACCAAGAUAUGUAAAUGCAUCUUUAGGGACUUCCACUUUAUGAGAAUUCCACACUUCAUGUUCAAACUCAAUGGAAAAAUCAGGGAGGAUAUCCACCAAAACACACUUCUAGGAGUCUUCAAUACUGUCCAGAAAUAAAAGUGGAAAUCUUAAGAACAACAGCUGAGCUAAAGAAUAAAAAAAUGCCAAAAAAAAAAAAAAAGAAGAAGAAGAAGAAGGUAAAUGCAAUGUGUCGACUUAACUGAAAAUUAUUCAUUCUCGUUAUUCAUUCAAUAUAAAGAAGUAGUGCAAGAUCGGAAGAUGUGGAGAGACCUGGCCCACAGAAUUGCCAAGGAUCGGAUAUGACUGAAUGGUUAUCAUCCUCCUCCUCCUCCUCCUCCUCCUCAUCAUCAUCAUCAUCAUCUAUUCAUUCAACACAUAUUUCUAGGAUCUCAAGCUGGCAUAUAUAGUAUUCCAUACUCCAAUUUUUGUGAGAGGUUGGGCUGAAAGGGGGAGCAUGAAGGACACAAAGUCUAAUAAACUUUCAGGCUGUAGGAGGACUUGAAUCUUCCCAGUUCCAAUCCAACAAAAUAACAGCAGUUCUCUAAAUAUAGUGCCAUAUUUGUUGGCCAAGAAUGAAGGAUGUCCUAUGUUAUUCCAAAAAUAUCAAAUGGUCAAUGUUGUUCAUCGGGUACAACUGCUAAUCCAUGGUAUUCUUGAAGGUUGAUCUAUUCCAAGUCUGCUUUAGAAAAUAAACACCAUUAAAUACCAUUAAGAGGAGAGGGGGAGUCUUAAAAGUUGUUGGACAAAGUUUGUAUCAUGGUAAAGAAUAUUAAAAUUGAUAAUACCAUC